UACGAAGGGUGCAAGCGUUACUCGGAAUUACUGGGCGUAAAGCGUGCGCAGGCGGUGAUGUAAGACAGGUGUGAAAUCCCCGGGCUUAACCUGGGAAUGGCAUUUGGGACUGCAAGGCUCGAGUGCGGCAGAGGAGACUGGAAUUCCUGGUGUAGCAGUGAAAUGCGUAGAUAUCAGGAGGAACACCGAUGGCGAAGGCAGGUCUCUGGGCUGACACUGACGCUCAUGCACGAAAGCGUGGGGAGCAAACAGG
rnacentral:rRNA from 1 species